rnacentral:rRNA from 1 species
GAUGAACGCUGGCGGCGUGCCUAAUACAUGCAAGUCGAGCGAACAGACGAGGAGCUUGCUCCUCUGACGUUAGCGGCGGACGGGUGAGUAACACGUGGAUAACCUACCUAUAAGACUGGGAUAACUUCGGGAAACCGGAGCUAAUACCGGAUAAUAUAUUGAACCGCAUGGUUCAAUAGUGAAAGACGGUUUUGCUGUCACUUAUAGAUGGAUCCGCGCCGCAUUAGCUAGUUGGUAAGGUAACGGCUUACCAAGGCAACGAUGCGUAGCCGACCUGAGAGGGUGAUCGGCCACCAUGGAACUGAGACACGGUCCAGACUCCUACGGGAGGCAGCAGUAGGGAAUCUUCCGCAAUGGGCGAAAGCUUGACGGAGCAACGCCGCGUGAGUGAUGAAGGUCUUCGGAUCGUAAAACUCUGUUAUUAGGGAAGAACAAAUGUGUAAGUAACUAUGCACGUCUUGACGGUACCUAAUCAGAAAGCCACGGCUAACUACGUG